rnacentral:rRNA from 1 species
UUAAAUUGAAGAGUUUGAUCAUGGCUCAGAUUGAACGCUGGCGGCAGGCCUAACACAUGCAAGUCGAGCGGAAACGAGUUAUCUGAACCUUCGGGGRACGAUAACGGCGUCGAGCGGCGGACGGGUGAGUAAUGCCUAGGAAAUUGCCC